rnacentral:tRNA from 1 species
GGAUAAAUAGCUCAAUGGUAGAGCGCCGGCCUGUUAAGCCGUGGAUGAAAGUUCGAUCCUUUCUUUAUCCGCCA